CCUACGGGAGGCAGCAGUGAGGAAUAUUGGUCAAUGGACGAGAGUCUGAACCAGCCAAGUAGCGUGAAGGAUGACUGCCCUAUGGGUUGUAAACUUCUUUUAUAUGGGAAUAAAACGUUCCACGUGUGGGAUUUUGUAUGUACCAUAUGAAUAAGGAUCGGCUAACUCCGUGCCAGCAGCCGCGGUAAUACGGAGGAUCCGAGCGUUAUCCGGAUUUAUUGGGUUUAAAGGGAGCGUAGGUGGUUUGUUAAGUCAGUUGUGAAAGUUUGCGGCUCAACCGUAAAAUUGCAGUUGAAACUGGCAGUCUUGAGUACAGUAGAGGUGAGCGGAAUUCGUGGUGUAGCGGUGAAAUGCUUAGAUAUCACGAAGAACUCCGAUUGCGAAGGCAGUUCACUGGACUGCAACUGACACUGAGGCUCGAAAGUGUGGGUAUCAAACAGGAUUAGAUACCCGUGUAGUC
rnacentral:rRNA from 1 species